rnacentral:lncRNA from 1 species
UGUGUACCUAUCAAUGCCGUACAUAUUUUUUAUUUAUGCACAUGAUAUUAUAUUUCAUUUUAUAUUGAUAUGGAGGUACGAAAAUUUAAACAAGAAGAGUUGCAGUAAUAUAUAUUUCAACUACAUGAACCUGACCGCUUAUUACAUUGGAAAUUGGAAGAAUCGUCAGGAGGAAGUUGGCUGGAGGAUAUCACAAGAGCCGAUAAACUCGGAAAAUCAUUUCUCAAGUGACUUUCAAUUUGAAUCCCCCUGCGAUCGCCGCGCGCCGCUUGCCAAGAUCGACUGAUCGAACCCAAACUUUCCUUCUGAAAUCAAUGAGAGCUAUUGCCAGUCGUAAAUCGAAUUCAGCUGCAUUAUAAUAAUAUGCUUACUUAAAUAAUCACCAUGUAUUAUAGGAAUUACAAUACUAACAGUAUUCACG